UACGGGGGGGGAAAGCGUUGUUCGGAAUUACUGGGCGUAAAGGGCUCGUAGGCGGCCAACUAAGUCAUACGUGAAAUCCCUCAGCUUAACUGGGGAACUGCGUGUGAUACUGGAUGGCUUGGAUUUGGGAGAGGGAUGCGGAAUUCUAGGUGUAGCGGUGAAAUGCGUAGAUAUCAGGAGGAACACCGGUGGCGAAGGCGCUCAUCUGGCCCAAUACUGACGCUGAAGCGCGAAAGCUGGGGGAGCAAACGGG
rnacentral:rRNA from 1 species